CAUGGUUCAUUACUUGGUUACUCGAUUUCAGUGGAAGCUCUCUUUAGAAGAGAAUCUAUUCGGUAGAGCUCCUUUGCCAUUUUUCCAUCAAGGGUUGCCUAUACAAGUCAAGAUCAAGAAGCCUCUUCAUGAUGAUAAUGAUGAUGUAAUAAUGUAAACUCUGUCGUGUACGACACGCACGACUGGGAAAUUUAAAUAAAUGAAGAAUCAUAAAUAAAAUCGGGAUCUUACUUGAUUUCAUAUCUCCUAAGUCCAGUAGCAUUAAAAAAGCUACCUAUAUAUCUGCAUCUCCAAGGAGAACCGUUGAUACCAAUCUAGAUCAUCAAGAAACCGUGUAAAAUGAAGAUAAUUGCGAACAGAGAAUGCAUUUCUGUAGUUGACCAAUAGCAAUUAAAAAUAGAGUAAAAAACAGUUUGCCCCCCCUAAACUAAUGCUCGUUUUGCACUUUGCCCCCUAAACAAAAUUUUUUUUGCACGUUCUUACCUGAACUCUAAAUUUUUUUUUUUUUUUUGCACGGUGCCUCAAAAAUCGGAUUUCCAGGCCAUUUAGACCGGAAUCUUACACACGUACUUCUCACGUGAGUUUUACAGGCGCAAAAACGUCUAUUCACUUACCUUCAUAAAAAAAAACGAAGAAAAGAAAAGAAGGGCUUAUCUGCCAUUUCCACACUCAAAUCCACCAUUUUGAAACCAGUCUAGGGGGCAAACAACUUAUUACUCUUGAAAUUUAAGAUCUAGAGACUACUAAUUUGGGGUAAUUAAAACCUAAAAACCAAAUUUUCCAAGAACCUAGUUUCACUAGGAGAGAUUCUUCUAGAAAAUGCAUUACAAACACCAUAACCAAACUGGAAUUAAAUGUUGUAGUUUGCCCUUCAGGGCAGUCUGCAGAUGUUUAAUUCAUACACAAAUUCAACCAAAACCACCAUUAUAAAAGUACACUAAUUUCUCUAGAAAUUCAUAUCAUCAAAUUUAUAAAAAAAAAAAAAAAUAAAAAAAAAAAAAAAAAAAUUAGCAAAUGGAAUUAUACGAUAAUUACCUCGCGAUUAUCGCACUAAUUGCUCCAGCAAUUGCAUUACUGCUGCUAAUAACCAGAGGGGGGAACAAUUCUCGAAGGCGGCGGCUACCACCUGGUUCAU
rnacentral:lncRNA from 1 species